rnacentral:rRNA from 1 species
CCUACGGGUGGCAGCAGUGAGGAAUAUUGGUCAAUGGGCGGAAGCCUGAACCAGCCAAGUAGCGUGCAGGAUGACGGCCCUACGGGUUGUAAACUGCUUUUAUACGGGAAUAACGCGCCUUACGUGUAGGGCUUAUCAUGUAUCGUAUGAAUAAGGACCGGCUAAUUCGGUGCCAGCAGCCGCGGUAAUACGGAAGGUCCGGGCGUUAUCCGGAUUUAUUGGGUUUAAAGGGAGCGUAGGCCGCAUGUCAAGCGUGCUGUGAAAUGUCCGGGCUCAACCCGGGCCUUGCAGCGUGAACUGGCGUGCUUGAGUGCACGGAGGGCAGGCGGAAUUCGUGGUGUAGCGGUGAAAUGCUUAGAUAUGACGAAGAACCCCGAUUGCGAAGGCAGGUGGCUGCAGCGGAACUGACGCUGAUGCUCGAAAGCGCGGGUAUCGAACAGGAUUAGAUACCCUGGUAGUC